GAUUAUGGCUCAGGAUGAACGCUAGCUACAGGCUUAACACAUGCAAGUCGAAGGGCAGCGGGAAGUCAGCUUGCUGACUUUGCCGGCGACCGGCGCACGGGUGAGUAACACGUAUCCAACCUUCCCGUUACUCUGGAAUAGCCUUUCGAAAGAAAGAUUAAUACCGGAUAGUAUCGAGAGAUUGCAUGAUAACCCGAUUAAAGAUUCAUCGGUAACGGAUGGGGAUGCGUUCCAUUAGGCAGUUGGG
rnacentral:rRNA from 1 species